rnacentral:ribozyme from 1 species
UGCCCAGCAACUCCUAUCCCUGCCUCCUCGCGGUACGAGCAACCUUAGGGAAGAUCGGGUAACCAACUCCGGUGGGAACUUUGGUCGUAUGCAGAUACGGAAGGGGGGGG